GAUUCAGUACAACUUGAUGCAAAGCUGGCGUGAAAAAUAAAUAACACUUUAAGAUUCCUACGAGGUGGACGGAUGUCCCUUGGGUAUAUAUAGGUGGGGGGAAAUUUCAUCCGUAAAAGGCUCUGUAUGCGUAGCAUGAUUCAACAUUUAACCUAAAUUUGUUAUUUCAAUAAACUAAAGGAGAUUAGAUAUCAAGAAAAUUCAAUAUUUUGUAUUAAUUUAUCAGAAAUAACUCUAGAAAACUACGGUCUUACAAGAAUUAAAUAGGUCUAACACACAUAAAAUCAUAAGAUGUAAAAGUAAGAGAAAUUUGUGUUAUAGAUCUCAAAUCUUUAAAAAAGGUGUAGGUGGGUCUUGAAUCUUUUAAUCUUAACAGUUACACUUCAAUACCUUUUGAUAAGAGUGUAUGGGUAGGACCCCUCUAAAGAUUUACAUCUAAAAAAGUUGAACAUCUAAGUAUCUAACUUCAAUUUGACAAAUUUAAUGUAGGGUAAAAUGGGUUUUUUUUAAUAUUUAUGUUAUAUAUUGUAGAUUUUUUGAAAAGUGAUUUUUGGGAGAAUGUAUGAAUAAAAGUAGAAAAAAAUAUGGGCUCGUGCAUAAAAUUAUUUUAAUUUAAGAAUUUAUUUGAAAAAAAUUAGGAAAAAAUGAGUUCU
rnacentral:lncRNA from 1 species